UGCUCGGCUCCGGCCUCCGGCGGCCCCGUCCCCGACUCCCCGGCGCCGCGGCGCACCCCAUCCCCGGCAGCACUGCUACAUCCUCCAGGCCCCGCAUCGCCUAUUCGCCUCGGGCCCUCGCCCCUCGGCUCCCGCAGGCCGCAGCUCGCACAGUCGCAGGGCGCAGCGGCGCAGCCACUGGCUCCAAGCCGGCCACGCCCGGUGCGGAGGCGCCCAAUCCUAGUCAAAUCUCGACCCAGAUUCUUGGAUUUGUGAAGUAUGAAGAGGGAUGGAGACAUUGCUUCUAUGUUCCGAAAGCAUGCUGCAA